ACGGAAGGCAGCAGUGGGGGAUAUUGCACAAUGGGGGAACCCUGAUGCAGCGACGCCGCGUGAGUGAAGAAGUAUUUCGGUAUGUAAAGCUCUAUCAGCAGGGAAGAAAAUGACGGUACCUGACUAAGAAGCCCCGGCUAACUACGUGCCAGCAGCCGCGGUAAUACGUAGGGGGCAAGCGUUAUCCGGAUUUACUGGGUGUAAAGGGAGCGCAGACGGCGAUGUAAGUCUGAAGUGAAAGCCCGCGGCUCAACUGCGGGACUGCUUUGGAAACUAUAUUGCUUGAGUGUCGGAGGGGCAAGCGGAAUUCCAUGUGUAGCGGUGAAAUGCGUAGAUAUAUGGAAGAACACCGGUGGCGAAGGCGGCUUGCUGGACGAUAACUGACGUUGAGGCUCGAAGGCGUGGGGAGCAAACAGGAUUAGAUACCCUGGUA
rnacentral:rRNA from 1 species